AAUGGCAAAAAAUCCGUAAGCAGCGUCUAUCGAUGAAACUGUAUGAAAUCAAAUUACAUACAUGCCUGUCAACUAAAAACAGGUAUUCAUAUGAUGUAAUUUGUGUAUCGAAACACGAAUAUUGUAUGUUUGUGCUAUAAUUAUUAUGGCAAACAGUUGCAAUAGCUGUUUUUCUUGACGAGAUUGUCGGCUUUUGGACCCCGCCUCGUUUUGCAGAUUAACCAAUCAGUGAACGAUCGCCGUCAAAAAGAUGUUUGUAGUUUGCAGAAUGGAAAGAACCUUGCAGCGAAAAUUAUUUUCACUUCUACGUGAAAAUCUAACCAGAAAACUCACCUGUCAAUUACAAGAUACAGUAUGCCAUUCCAGCUUUGAUAAAUAUAAAGUAAUGGUUUGAAUUUGGAGAGCUUUAUUAUUAUAGACAGGGAUGAUGACCUGCAGUGAGACAGCAGUAGAAAGUUACUUAUAACUCAUCAUGGCCAUUAUGGAAGAUCUGAUUAAAAUUUGUUUAGAAAGCCACCAAAUAUGUCCAUGAAAAGUAGAAAAAAGACAGCAAAUCUACAUAAUGUACUAAGCAGAAGCAUUGACUGUUUCAAGACCAAAUGAAUUGGAAUUUAGUGUUUUGAUGCUGAGAGACAGAGGAAUAUUAACUGGACAAUUUAGCUUCUUUUUCAUCAUCAUUGAAGUUGAUGUUUACCAUCUUAAAGAGCUUUAAGCUCAGUUAAAAUGAAU